UACGAAGGGGGCUAGCGUUGCUCGGAAUCACUGGGCGUAAAGGGCGCGUAGCCGGCGUUUUAAGUCGGGGGUGAAAGCCUGUGGCUCAACCACAGAAUGGCCUUCGAUACUGGGACGCUUGAGUAUGUUAGAGGUUGGUGGAACUGCGGGUGUAGAGGUGAAAUUCGUAGAUAUCACGAUGAACUCCAAUCGCGAAGGCAGGUGUCCGGGCUGCAACUGACGCUGAGGCUCGAAAGUGUGGGUAUCAAACAGGAUUAGAUACCGUGGUAGUCCACACAGUAAACGAUGUAUACUCGCGUUUUGCGAUAUAUUGUAAGCCGC
rnacentral:rRNA from 1 species